UACGGGGGGGGCAAGCGUUGUUCGGAAUUACUGGGCGUAAAGGGCUCGUAGGCGGCCAACUAAGUCGGACGUGAAAUCCCCGGGCUCAACCUGGGAACUGCAUUUGUGACUGCAUGGCUGGAGUGCGGCAGAGGGGGAUGGAAUUCCGCGUGUAGCAGUGAAAUGCGUAGAUAUGCGGAGGAACACCGAUGGCGAAGGCAGCUUGCUGGGACGGUACUGACGCUGAGACGCGAAAGCGUGGGGAGCAAACAGG
rnacentral:rRNA from 1 species